rnacentral:rRNA from 1 species
UAGAGUUUGAUCAUGGCUCAGGAUAAACGCUGGCGGCGUGCUUCAGGCAUGCAAGUCGAACGGACCUUCGGGUCAGUGGCGGACGGGUGAGUAACACGUAAGUAACCUGCCCAGAAGUGGGGAAUAACUAGCCGAAAGGUUGGCUAAUACCGCAUGUGAUGGUCGGUCCCUGGACUGGUCAUUAAAGAUUUAUCGCUUCUGGAGGGGCUUGCGGUCGAUUAGCUAGUUGGUGGGGUAAUGGCCUACCAAGGCGACGAUCGAUAGCUGGUCUGAGAGGACGGUCAGCCACACGGGGACUGAGAUACGGCCCCGACUCCUACGGGAGGCAGCAGCUAGGAAUCUUGGGAAUGGGCGAAAGCCUGACCCAGCAACGCCGCGUGGGUGACGAAGGCCUUCGGGUUGUAAAGCCCUUUUACCCGGGAUGAUAAUGACAGUACCGGGAGAAUAAGCUCCGGCUAACUCCGUGCCAGCAGCCGCGGUAAUAUCGCC